AGUGAACGCUGGCGGUAGGCCUAACACAUGCAAGUCGAACGGCAGCACAGUAAGAGCUUGCUCUUACGGGUGGCGAGUGGCGGACGGGUGAGGAAUACAUCGGAAUCUACUUUUUCGUGGGGGAUAACGUUGGGAAACUUACGCUAAUACCGCAUACGACCUACGGGUGAAAGCAGGGGAUCUUCGGACCUUGCGCGAUUGAAUGAGCCGAUGUCGGAUUAGCUAGUUGGCGGGGUAAAGGCCCACCAAGGCCACGAUCCGUAGCUGGUCUGAGAGGAUGAUCAGCCACACUGGAACUGAGACACGGUCCAGACUCCUACGGGAGGCAGCAGUGGGGAAUAUUGGACAAUGGGCGCAAGCCUGAUCCAGCCAUACCGCGUGGGUGAAGAAGGCCUUCGGGUUGUAAAGCCCUUUUGUUGGGAAAGAAAAGCAGCAGGUUAAUACCCCGCUGUUCUGACGGUACCCAAAGAAUAAGCACCGGCUAACUUCGUG
rnacentral:rRNA from 1 species